AAGUCCUUUUCUGAAUACCGCAAAGAAUAUACAUUAUAUGGGCCAAAGGAAGUGGUAAGAUCACCAAUGUCACCAUCUUCCAUCUCCUCAGGGCUUCGUUUCACACCUAAGAUUUAAAAACAAUAUAUAAGUAGGUUGUUUUAUUUCAGAGGGAUAGCCUGGUUUUUGUUGCAGCAAACACCACAGAGAGUCUUGUGGUAUCGUAAACACUAACAGAUUUAAUUCAGCAUAAACUUUUGUGGGCGGAGUCCACUUCUUCAGAUAUAUAAAUUGUUAAUUCUCAUGCAUGAGGUAUAUGUACAUGGGAAAUGUCAGGGAAGAAAAUAAAGAUAGCAUCUUGGUGAGGAAAAUAGGGAAGGCUUAUUAUUGUCUUCAAUAAUUUGUACAGCAAAAUGCAUUACAGACUUUAAAGCGUCUCUUUUGGAAAAUCAUUCUGUUGGAGUGUAAUUACUCUUCCCUUUAUUUCAGUUUCUCCUCAGUACAGAAGCAGUGUGCCCGAAUCUUCUUUCGGAAUGUGUGGCUGAGACCGGACUCAAUUAAAACUGGGUCUUUAGGUAUGAGUGCAAUACUUCAUCCAGCUGACUGUGCUAUCUCAAAAAUCAAUGUUUUGGUCCAAAUGCUGGCAUAGAAGACCUAUGACAUCUCCAAUCCUCCAAGUACAACUGCAGGAAAAAACUCGAUAGCUUUUUGGGGUGGCAGUAUUUUUAGAAGUGCACAUGAAGCCACAUGUAAUCUGGGACAUGCACAGCCCAGUGUCGCCUCCAGUGUUGCAAAGAAUAUGACUGGUGGGGAAAGGGGGGGGGUAUCCUGAAUUGUGUACUGCUUCUGUUUAGUAGUAAGCAUGUCUUACCCCUGCUUCUUCAUUUUCCUUUUGAAACAACUCUCUUAGAUUUCCAACUUAGUCAAAGAACAGAAUUGAUCAUAAUGUAAUGAAAAGCAAAAAUUAUCAGACUUGUACAGACUUACCAGGCGCUUUAUACUCUUUGAAUGUGUCACACACUAAGGGGAAAAGAAGCACUAUUGGAAUUUCAGGGCCCUCUUGAUCUCCCACCAAGUAGCAUUCCUUCAGAUCACCAUCUUCCUUUGGUAUAAUUUGAGGGAAUGGGACUCCUUGUUCUGAGAAAUACUCUGCGGCUUUUUCCAGAGGCUAUGUAAGGGGGAUUAAAUCCAAGCAUGAUUUUAAUAGUGGAGCCAUUACUUGAUAGACUGGAAGUGCAUUCGCACACGCCUAAUUCGUAGACUUUUUUAAAAAAAAAUCUCUGGUUUCCCCAAUCCCAGCAACAUGGAACACUGCAGAGUUUGCACUUCACCUGUGACCAGAAGGUCAUCUUAAAUUCUCCAUUAAAGGGCUUUGAGAUUCUAUCUCAGCUGUGUGGAAGGCAAAUUAUGCUGCAGAACGAACUAAUUAUAUUGUUAACCAUCUCUUUUUGGGGAGAAGGGUGCCCUUAGUUGCCCAAACUUAACUAUGUGAACAGCUUGUAGGGUGAUUGGAAACCUUAAAGAACCCCACCCAUUAAUAUCAAUUUUGUUCAACCUUGCUCAACUCCCAGAACUUCCAUCUCUGUUCUGAGUAAAUAAGAGGAAGAGUUGGAGAACGGAGUGCUGAAGGCAAGAGAAGAAACGCCCCCCCCAAAGCCCUUGAGAAAGUAAGUCUUCAAGGGGAUUAAUUGCUUUGGGACCUUUCAUUUGGUAAAAAGUGCUAUAAAAAUCUCAUAAAAUAAAUCAAUCCACAGUUGUCCCAGUGGUAGCAGCAGUAUAAAGGCAAAAGGCCUUUUCUUUGCAACUGAAAGAAAGAAAGAAUGGGAAAGAAGUUUUUCUCAGUGUGGUCUGGAAACUUGGCUGGUACUGUUCUUGCAAACAGGACUGAGAACAUACAUCCUGUGCAUAGGCUUUUAACAGCUCUCACACAAAAGUCACCUCCUUAUUUGUGUAUUCAGAACUGACCUCCAAAUAUAUGUCUUGUGUACAUGCAAACAAAAAGCAGCAGAACUUGUCUAGAAGAGAAAAAACUGAUUUGGUGCACCUAACUGCUUUCACAGAAGCCGUGGUGCAAUGUGAAUAAAGCUAGCAGAAUAUUUAUCUUAUCUCUCUUCCAUCUGACAGGGAAGACGUGUGAAAGACAGCAUUUGUCAGUUUCCCCUUCUCACAGCCCUGGCAUUGCUGAUGGCAGAGGAGGAAACAGCUGCAAGAAGAUGAUUUCAACAGAAGAGAAGGCACAGGGUACAGACCAUCAACUUCCUCUUUGUAUGAUAGGGACAGAAAUGAGUAACCGACUGUCAAAAGCAAAUAAGUGAUGCACACUCCCAUUAUUUGUGUUGGGGGGGGGGGAAGCUGUGCUCAAGAUUACUUACCAUUAUUUGUGAUCCUGCGCUGUAAUUUAAGUGUAUUAUGAGAUCCACAUUUCUUCCCUGCCUCAUGAGUGGCGGGUAGCUGCUUUCAAAGGCAAAUGCAUUAUCUACCAGAUACAGGUAAUCUUCAGCUCCUGUCAGCUGGUUUGGAAAGGUAUCAAGAUCACAGUCUGAAAGAAAUGAAUUUGUGGUCAGAAACGGGCAGUGCUGCUCCUACGGGGAACAUAAAGAAACAGAAAAUGCACUCAAAAUAUAGUUCUCCCCACUCAUGACAUUUCAAGAGACGGUCCAUUUCCAGUCUCUGAACUUCUGUCUUUCAGUAACUGGGUAGAGCACACAGUUUCUGUUGCCUACCCAGGAAGUCCUUCCCCUCUGGAAGAAGAGGAAAUGGUCAGUCCUUAAAGACUCCCUGAUUGCUAUAUGAAGGCUUUAGGUAUUGGCCAAGCAAGCUAACCCAAGGGAACUUUCAUUUAAAAAAGAGCUCUUGCUAUACCUUUCCACUUUGAAAAUUCGCUCUCUAGGUAUUCGUUGUGCAUCGGGCAGCCUCUCAGAAAAUUAGGGACCACCGAAACUGCUGGUCGCCACAUAAUGACAUUUUGAAAAGCAUUGGCAAGGCUGUCCGGAGGAUACUGCAUACGGGUAGGGAGUUUAUCUGUUGACGGAUACCAAGGACACUCCUCUGUAGAAGGAACAACAUAUGAAAUGCAUUUUUUUUCCUAUGUUAGAAAAUACUAACCAUGCUAUGAGAUGCUUGAAAUUUACAGUGCUUCAUUUCCCCAUACCAUCUUGGCUUUCUACAAGUUUGUUUUUGUGUCAAAUCUACCUAAAACUCCAAAUUACAGUUCCAAAGCUGGUCUGCUUAUAUAUGGUCUGCUUCAUAUAUGGUUUCUUAAUGUGAUUAUGUGCAACAUUUCAUCUGCCUGCAUCAUGUAGGUAGAUAGCCGUUACACCAGCUCUGUUCUGCACCAACAUAUGUCAUAGGUGUCAUCUAUUGUUGAUAUAACCUGCACUGCUGUGUAGGGCCAGCAUUUACUAGCCAUUUGGACUAGCAGCGAUAGCCAUGAGAUCCAGCCCAAACCCUAUCUGAUUUGCAGGAGUUAAGCUCAAAAGUGUUAUCACUGCUGCAGGAAGCAAACGUUGGGAAACACCUUUGUUGGUAGUAUUCCACUCUAAGCUCAUCCAGUCAGUAUAAUACUCACUUGUGCCCCCACCCUUGUGCUAAUUGUCAGUGUUGGGUACCAAUAGGGUAAACUGUUUUUAAAUGAGGUUUUGAGUCCUUAGUUCCUUUUACUUAGAAAAUCAAAGUCAUAGUUUACCAAUAUGUCCCUGUUACCACUGUCAUACUUUAUUUUUUUAAAAAAAACUAUUUUGUUUAAAGUGUACCUGAUUAAAAAAACAUGUCUUUGCUAACACAG